GGACCUCAGUCCUCUGAUCACAAAAAAGACCCUGAGUUCUGCCAACAACCUGAAUGAAAAUUAGGAAGACGGUCUGAGCCCCAGCCUGUGAGGCCCUCUGCCGAGAAGCCAGAUUUAAGACCCACACAGCUGUGAGCUGAGAAUGUCAUGGCUGGACUGGAGCAUGGCUUUCUUAUCCGUUCUACUGUGGAUGGACCCCUGGAUAGCUGUCUCCAGGAAUUUUCCAGUGCUCCAAGAGGCUGAUUCCUGGUUUGGGGACACUUUGUGAUGAAGGUGUCUUGCAGCCACUGAGCAGAAAUGCCUGGUGAUAACCUCAUAAUCUAGAGAGACGGGGCUUGCCAUCGCGUGAUCCAAAUGCAGACACCGGAUCCCGCUUCUUCCGUCUUGCUCUCGUGUUCCCGAUGGAGAGAAGCUUAACCCGAAGGAUCAUCUGUGCCUGUAAUAAAGGUGAUGUCCUAUGAGAACUGCACUCAGAGCAAGCUUCCAACCUCAUUCACAAAUAUUUAUGGAGCACCUGCUAUGUGCCAAGCACUGUUCCAGGAGCUCCGAAUACAGCAACAAACCUUCAAGGCUCAGUUCAGUUGUCACGACCCCUGAAAAGCUUUCCCACACUCCUUCAUGCCUACCUGCAGGGGGUUGUUGCCGGUCCCUCGUGGGAGUUCUCAGGUGAGCAGGCUUCGUGAGCCAAGAAGCAUCCCGGCUGCCCAGCCCGACCCUGAGGGUUAUAGCUGCCUCUCUCCUUUUCCACGACUGCCCCUCCCCAGAAAGCACCGGCCGAUGCUGUUUCUGAAGAGCCAUCCAUUCCACGACUCAGCUCUCCACACUGCCUCGUGAGGCACCUUUAAAACACUUUUGUUGUAGCCAACUUGGUAAUAUGUUGUCGUUUUCCACCUAA